rnacentral:rRNA from 1 species
GAGUUUGAUCGUGGCUCAGAUUGAACGCUGGCGGCAUGCCUUACACAUGCAAGUCGAACGGCAGCAUGAUCUAGCUUGCUAGAUUGAUGGCGAGUGGCGAACGGGUGAGUAAUACAUCGGAACGUGCCCUGUAGUGGGGGAUAACUAGUCGAAAGAUUAGCUAAUACCGCAUACGACCUGAGGGUGAAAGUGGGGGACCGCAAGGCCUCAUGCUAUAGGAGCGGCCGAUGUCUGAUUUAGCUAGUUGGUGGGGUAAAGGCCCACCAAGGCGACGAUCAGUAGCUGGUCUGAGAGGACGAUCAGCCACACUGGGACUGAGACACGGCCCAGACUCCUACGGGAGGCAGCGGUGGGGAAUUUUGGACAAUGGGCGAAAGCCUGAUCCAGC